rnacentral:rRNA from 1 species
GAUGAACGCUAGCGGCAGGCCUAACACAUGCAAGUCGAGGGGCAGCACAAAUGAAGCUUGCUUUAUUGGUGGCGACCGGCGCACGGGUGAGUAACGCGUAUGCAACCUGCCCUGUACUGGGGGAUAACCCGGAGAAAUUCGGACUAACACCCCAUAAUGUAAUUAGAUGGCAUCAUUUAGUUAUUAAAGGUUACGGUACGGGAUGGGCAUGCGUUCCAUUAGCUAGUUGGUAUGGUAACGGCAUACCAAGGCGACGAUGGAUAGGGGGCCUGAGAGGGUGAUCCCCCACACUGGUACUGAGACACGGACCAGACUCCUACGGGAGGCAGCAGUGAGGAAUAUUGGUCAAUGGGCGCAAGCCUGAACCAGCCAUGCCGCGUGCAGGAAGACGGUCCUAUGGAUUGUAAACUGCUUUUAUUAGGAAUAAACCCCCAUACGUGUAUGGGGCUGAAUGUACUAAAGAAUAAGCACCGGCUAACUCCGUGCCAGCAGCCGCGGUAAAG